rnacentral:rRNA from 1 species
UACGAGGGGGGCUAGCGUUGUUCGGAAUUACUGGGCGUAAAGCGCAUGUAGGCGGACAUUUAAGUCAGGGGUGAAAUCCCAGAGCUCAACUCUGGAACUGCCUUUGAUACUGGGUGUCUUGAGUAUGGAAGAGGUGAGUGGAAUUCCGAGUGUAGAGGUGAAAUUCGUAGAUAUUCGGAGGAACACCAGUGGCGAAGGCGGCUCACUGGUCCAUUACUGACGCUGAGGUGCGAAAGCGUGGGGAGCAAACAGG